AACGAACGCUGGCGGCAUGCCUAACACAUGCAAGUCGAACGAGACCUUCGGGUCUAGUGGCGCACGGGUGCGUAACGCGUGGGAACCUGCCCUUAGGUUCGGAAUAACUCCCCGAAAGGGGUGCUAAUACCGGAUAAUGUCUUCGGACCAAAGAUUUAUCGCCUUUGGAUGGGCCCGCGUUGGAUUAGCUAGUUGGUAGGGUAAAAGCCUACCAAGGCGACGAUCCAUAGCUGGUCUGAGAGGAUGAUCAGUCACACUGGGACUGAGACACGGCCCAGACUCCUACGGGAGGCAGCAGUGGGGAAUAUUGGACAAUGGGCGAAAGCCUGAUCCAGCAAUGCCGCGUGAGUGAUGAAGGCCUUAGGGUUGUAAAGCUCUUUUACCCGGGAUGAUAAUGACAGUACCGGGAGAAUAAGCGCCGGCUAACUCCGUG
rnacentral:rRNA from 1 species